GACGAACGCUGGCGGCGUGCUUAACACAUGCAAGUCGAACGGAAAGGCCCUGCUUUUGUGGGGUGCUCGAGUGGCGAACGGGUGAGUAACACGUGAGUAACCUGCCCUUGACUUUGGGAUAACUUCAGGAAACUGGGGCUAAUACCGGAUAGGAGCUCCUGCUGCAUGGUGGGGGUUGGAAAGUUUCGGCGGUUGGGGAUGGACUCGCGGCUUAUCAGCUUGUUGGUGGGGUAGUGGCUUACCAAGGCUUUGACGGGUAGCCGGCCUGAGAGGGUGACCGGCCACAUUGGGACUGAGAUACGGCCCAGACUCCUACGGGAGGCAGCAGUGGGGAAUAUUGCACAAUGGGCGGAAGCCUGAUGCAGCAACGCCGCGUGCGGGAUGACGGCCUUCGGGUGGUAAACCGCUUUCGCCUGUGACGAAGCGUGAGUGACGGUAAUGGGUAAAGAAGCACGGGCUAACUACGUG
rnacentral:rRNA from 1 species